ACUCCUACGGGAGGCAGCAGUGGGGAAUAUUGGACAAUGGGCGAAAGCCUGAUCCAGCAAUGCCGCGUGAGUGAUGAAGGCCCUAGGGUUGUAAAGCUCUUUUACCCGGGAAGAUAAUGACUGUACCGGGAGAAUAAGCCCGGCUAACUCCGUGCCAGCAGCCGCGGUAAUACGGAGGGGGCUAGCGUUGUUCGGAAUUACUGGGGCGUAAAGCGCACGUAGGCGGCUUUGUAAGUCAGAGGUGAAAGCCUGGAGCUCAACUCCAGAACUGCCUUUGAGACUGCAUCGCUUGAAUCCAGGAGAGGUCAGUGGAAUUCCGAGUGUAGAGGUGAAAUUCGUAGAUAUAUGGAAGAACACCAGUGGCGAAGGCGGCUACCUGGUCUGCAGCUGACGCUGAGACUCGAAAGCAUGGGUAGCGAACAGGAUUAGAUACCCUGGUAGGAUAGCG
rnacentral:rRNA from 1 species